CAACUUCAUGUACCGGACUCAAAACAGUGUUCAUGAUGAGUGUUUUAACAAACUCUUAGCUCUUCUGAAAACAUUUUAAUAACAGACCUAAUCAACGAGUGCCCAGAUCCUGGACCUAAAUAACAACCAUAGCAGGUGCAUCAAACCAAAUUUUCUCAAGAUUGGCCUUGUAGUUUAUGAGAAAAAAGCUGAAAAUGAUCAAUGCAUGACUAGAGACAAAAAUGGAGAGCAACAGAUCAACUGUGUGAGUGUGACCAAACCAACCAUUGUAUACCAAUUCCAUGUAUGAAUUUUAUUGCAUACAAGAACAGUUAACAUGCAAUACAAAUACUAAC